GACGAACGCUGGCGGCGUGUCUAAUACAUGCAAGUUGAGCGCUGAAGGUUGGUACUUGUACCAACUGGAUGAGCAGCGAACGGGUGAGUAACGCGUGGGGAAUCUGCCUUUGAGCGGGGGACAACAUUUGGAAACGAAUGCUAAUACCGCAUAAAAACUUUAAACACAAGUUUUAAGUUUGAAAGAUGCAAUUGCAUCACUCAAAGAUGAUCCCGCGUUGUAUUAGCUAGUUGGUGAGGUAAAGGCUCACCAAGGCGAUGAUACAUAGCCGACCUGAGAGGGUGAUCGGCCACAUUGGGACUGAGACACGGCCCAAACUCCUACGGGAGGCAGCAGUAGGGAAUCUUCGGCAAUGGACGAAAGUCUGACCGAGCAACGCCGCGUGAGUGAAGAAAGGUUUCGGAUCGUAAAACUCUGUUGGUAGAGAAGAACGGUGGUGAGAGUGGAAAGCUCAUCAAGUGACGGUAACUACCCAGAAAGGGACGGCUAACUACGUG
rnacentral:rRNA from 1 species